GAUCCUGGCUCAGAUUGAACGCUGGCGGCAGGCCUAACACAUGCAAGUCGAACGGUAACAGGAAGAAGCUUGCCUCUUUGCUGACGAGUGGCGGACGGGUGAGUAAUGUCUGGGAAACUGCCUGAUGGAGGGGGGAUAACUACUGGAAACGGUAGCUAAUACCGCAUAACGUCGCAAGACCAAAGAGGGGGACCUUCGGGCCUCUUGCCAUCGGAUGUGCCCAGAUGGGAUUAGCUAGUAGAUGGGG
rnacentral:rRNA from 1 species